CUGGAAGGAAUGGUAAAGCAUGGACACCACCAGUUGGCAGCCCUCGUGGGAGUUAAUUCACCCAGUUGGUUGGCCCUAACGAUUGGGGCAAGAGGAAGAUAUGGAAGAAGGACCAAGGACUCUUCUGAAUGACCUGCGGAGGCCCAAAGGCCAGCAAGUGGGCCCUCAUCCGCCAGGGUUCUGGAGCUGGAACCGUCCCCUGCAAUGCUGCCAUCCAGACUGCCGAAGCCAGAGUUCCUGCAACAGAAGAAGUUGAGA
rnacentral:lncRNA from 1 species